rnacentral:rRNA from 1 species
UACGUAGGGGGCAAGCGUUAUCCGGAUUUACUGGGUGUAAAGGGAGCGCAGACGGCAGCGCAAGUCAGAAGUGAAACCCCCGGGCUCACCCCGGGGCCUGCUUUUGAAACUGUGCAGCUAGAGUGCAGGAAGGGCAAGCGGAAUUCCUAGUGUAGCGGUGAAAUGCGUAGAUAUUAGGAGGAACACCGGUGGCGAAGGCGGCUUGCUGGACUGUAACUGACGUUGAGGCUCGAAGGCGUGGGGAGCAAAC